rnacentral:lncRNA from 1 species
AGGUCCUUCCACUUUAUGAUGUCACGAUACCCAGCACUUGCCCUUCACAGUACUUGACACAUUUGGAUGACUAUUUCCUGAAUGACUUUCUCACUCUCUAGAUGAAAAAUCUGUAAAACCAAUGAUCAUGCCUCUCUUGUUUACCAGCUUUUAUUCGCCCAGCAGCCAGCAUAGUGCUUAGAACAGUAGGCACCCAGGAAGUAUGUGGUUCAGACACUUAUUCUGGCUUGUGUUUUAUUUCAGCAUACAGCAGUGUUGGGUUAGGUGGGGUUGGUGUAGUCAUCUGGUGAUGUGGUUUACUUAAGCAGUCAAUGAGAAUGUUCUGAUCAAGAUAAGACUUCACACUUCUCCCACUGACUUAUUGAUAUCAAGUGGAUGAAGUUUUGUGUUUGCUCUACUGACCUGAAGUGAGGAACAACCACAUACAUCUUUGUCUUCACUCUGUCCAGCUGUCAACUGCAUUGUUCCCUCACGUCUUCCUGCAAAGUACCAUUAUUUCCACACCUUAAGAAUUAAAGAGUGAAGAGAAAACGACAAAAUGUUCUUGUUUAUCAGGAGAUGGGGGUGAGCUGAGCUUUCCACAAGGUCCUGAAUGGAUGAGAAGGACCCAAAACAUAUGGAAAAUAUGGAGAAUAGGGUAUAAGUAAUAAAAAUAAAAAUAAAAUAAAUAAAAUAAAUUGGGAAU